GUCCACGCCGUAAACGAUGAUUACUAGGUGUUCGUGCGUUUAAGACGUAUGAGUGCCCAAGCGAAAGCGAUAAGUAAUCCACCUGGGGGAGUACGACCGCAAGGUUGAAACUCAAAGGAAUUGACGGGGGCCCGCACAAAGCGGUGGAGCAUGUGGUUUAAUUCGAUGGUACGCGAGGAACCUUACCUGGGCUAGAAUGCCCCUGACCGCCCGUGAAAGCGGGUUUCCUUCGGGACAGGGAGCAAGGUGCUGCAUGGCUGUCGU
rnacentral:rRNA from 1 species